rnacentral:rRNA from 1 species
GAUGAACGCUGGCGGCGUGCUUAACACAUGCAAGUCGAACGGAAAGGCCCAAGCUUGCUUGGGUACUCGAGUGGCGAACGGGUGAGUAACACGUGGGUGAUCUGCCCUGCACUUCGGGAUAAGCCUGGGAAACUGGGUCUAAUACCGGAUAGGACCACAUUUUGGAUGGUGUGGUGGAAAGUUUUUCGGUGUGGGAUGAGCUCGCGGCCUAUCAGCUUGUUGGUGGGGUAAUGGCCUACCAAGGCGUCGACGGGUAGCCGGCCUGAGAGGGUGUACGGCCACAUUGGGACUGGGAGACGGCCCAGACUCCUACGGGGGGCAGCAGUGGGGAAUAUUGCACAAUGGGCGCAAGCCUGAUGCAGCGACGCCGCGUGGGGGAUGACGGCCUUCGGGUUGUAAACUCCUUUCGCUAGGGACGAAGCGUUUUUGUGACGGUACCUGGAGAAGAAGCACCGGCUAACUACGUG